rnacentral:rRNA from 1 species
GCGACGAUUGGUAGCCGGACUGAGAGGUUGAACGGCCACAUUGGGACUGAGACACGGCCCAGACUCCUACGGGAGGCAGCAGUGGGGGAUAUUGCACAAUGGGGGAAACCCUGAUGCAGCGACGCCGCGUGGAGGAAGAAGGUUUUCGGAUUGUAAACUCCUGUCGUUAGGGACGAUAAUGACGGUACCUAACAAGAAAGCACCGGCUAACUACGUGCCAGCAGCCGCGGUAAAACGUAGGGUGCAAGCGUUGUCCGGAAUUACUGGGUGUAAAGGGAGCGCAGGCGGACCGGCAAGUUGGAAGUGAAAACUAUGGGCUCAACCCAUAAAUUGCUUUCAAAACUGCUGGCCUUGAGUAGUGCAGAGGUAGGUGGAAUUCCCGGUGUAGCGGUGGAAUGCGUAGAUAUCGGGAGGAACACCAGUGGCGAAGGCGACCUACUGGGCACCAACUGACGCUGAGGCUCGAAAGCAUGGGUAGCAAACAGGAUUAGAUACCCUGGUAGUCCAUGCCGUAAACGAUGAUUACUAGGUGUUGGAGGAUUGACCCCUUCAGUGCCGCAGUUAACACAAUAAGUAAUCCACCUGGGGAGUACGACCGCAAGGUUGAAACUCAAAGGAAUUGACGGGGGCCCGCACAAGCAGUGGAGUAUGUGGUUUAAUUCGAAGCAACGCGAAGAACCUUACCAGGUCUUGACAUCCGAUGCAUAGCUUAGAGAUAAGUGAAGUCCUUCGGGACAUCGAGACAGGUGGUGCAUGGUUGUCGUCAGCUCGUGUCGUGAGAUGUUGGGUUAAGUCCCGCAACGAGCGCAACCCUUAUUGCCAGUUACUACGCAAGAGGACUCUGGCGAGACUGCCGUUGACAAAACGGAGGAAGGUGGGGAUGACGUCAAAUCAUCAUGCCCUUUAUGACCUGGGCUACACACGUACUACAAUGGCGUUUAACAAAGAGAAGCAAGACCGCGAGGUGGAGCAAAACUCAAAAACAACGUCUCAGUUCAGAUUGCAGGCUGCAACUCGCCUGCAUGAAGUCGGAAUUGCUAGUAAUCGCGGAUCAGCAUGCCGCGGUGAAUACGUUCCCGGGCCUUGUACACACCGCCCGUCACACCAUGAGAGCCGGGGGGACCCGAAGUCGGUAGUCUAACCGUAAGGAGGACGCCGCCGAAGGUAAAACUGGUGAUUGGGGUGAAGUCGUAACAAGGUA